UACGUGUCGAAAAAUACAGGGAAGAAUAUGACAAGUAUAGGAUAUACAGCUGUUCACAAUGGACCAUUAAUCAACUGUUUGCACUGCCAAUCAUCCUGAAGUAUCUAUACAUCAAAGAUACAAAGAUGAAGGAAAGUGUGUCCAUUGUUGCAACUACCAUCUUCCAGUUCCUUAAUUUGAGAAUAAUAUAAGAGAACACACAGUUACAGUGAAAUCUUAGUUUAAUAUCAGUCACUAAGAAUAGUAGACUGUACUUUCCUAAAGCAGCUGAAUGACAUGCGGCACAAAAAUCUUAGUGUAAAAGAGUAUGAUUUUAUGGUGGUUGACACUAUGACACCAUAAUCUAGUUAACUUGUUAAUGUCACAAUGAUUGAAGCAGAGGGAAAUAUCCGAAUUUCAUUUCAGUUUUAAGUAUUGAAACAAGAUACUCUAUAUAUACCAAAGUAGAAAACACACCAUAUAUAAAGAUUUUCAUGGAAUCACAGUGUUGUCAUAUGUCAUUAUGAACAAAUGACUAUCAUGUAAAGAUGAAAAAGAAGAAGAAAAUGCAAAAAUAUAAUAUAUCUUCUACUAAUAAUAUUGUAAGUGUAUUCAUUGAUAAUCUUUUAAAUUUGCAUUCAAAGCUUGAUAUCAAGCUGACCAUUUUUCAAUUAGAAUAUGAUUUAUAACUCUAUAAUAAUAUGUUCAUGUCAACUUUCAAAGUCUUUACAUUUGUAAAAGGAAAUAUUUUUAUUCUUGUAUCAGUAGACAUUCUCAGUGUAAAGUUUCUUGAUAACAUUUUCAAGUGUUUUCCUGAAGUUUUUCUUUCACUGGAAAAUAAAUGGAUAUACAUUUGUAUUUGCAAAGCAGUGCACUAUAAAUUGUGAAAAAAUAAAAGUUUAUUCAACUUA